AUGCGUCUGCACUCGGCCCCCAGUCCCAAGCUGAGGUUCCUGGCCUUGGAUGCGACCAGACCCAGUCUCUUCCCACUCAGUCUCCAAAGCAUCAACUCAGACGGUCAAGUGGUCAUCGGCUGCUUGGUCCAGGGCUUCUUCCCACCGGGGUCUGUGAACGUGACCUGGGACCACAAUGGGAAAGGCACCUCUAUCAGCAACUUCCCCGCCGUGCAAGACGCCGGAGGCCUGUACACCAUGAGCAGCCAGCUGACCCUGCCGGCCGACCAGUGCCCAGAGAAACAGUCUCAGAAAUGCCACGUGAAAUACAGCUCCGACCCCAGCAAGGCUGUGGACGUGCCCUGUAGCAAAGAGUGUCCCAAAUGCCCACCAAACCCCUGCUGCCAGCCCCAGCUGACGCUGCAUCGGCCUGCCCUCGAGGACUUGCUCCUGGGCUUCAGUGCGAACGUCACAUGCACACUGAGUGGCCUGGCAAAGCCCGAGGGUGCCACCUUCACCUGGGAGCCCACAGGUGGGAAGGACGCCAUCCUGGGGACCCCUGAACGCGAUUCCUUUGGCUGCUACACCGUGUCCAGCGUCCUGCCAGGAUGCGCCGAGCAGUGGAACCGUGGAGUCACUUUCUCAUGCACUGCAACCUAUCCUGGCUCUAAGAGCCCACUAUCAGCGACCAUCACCAAAGCCUCAGGGAGCCUCUUGCCACCCCAGGUCCACCUGCUGCCACCACCUUCUGAGGAGCUGGCCCUCAACGAGAUGGUGACACUGACCUGCUUGGUGCGGGGCUUCAGCCCCAGUGACGUGCUGGUGCUGUGGCAGCACGGGAACCAGGAGCUGUCCCGAGAGAAGUACCUGACCUGGAGCCCCCUGCAUGAGUCCGGCCCCGGCAAUACAUUCGCCGUGACCAGCGUGCUGCGCGUGGAAGCUGAGCAGUGGAAGAAUGGGGACAACUUCUCCUGCAUGGUGGGCCACGAGGCACUACCCCGGAACUUCACCCAGAAGACCAUCGACCGCCUGGCGGGUAAACCCACCCACGUCAAUGUGUCCGUGAUCUUGUCAGAGGUGGAUGGCACCUGCUACUGA